AACGGCCAUACCAUGCUGAAUAUACCGGUUCUCGUUAGAUCACCGAAGUCAAGCAUCAUUGGGCGCGAUCAGUACUUGGGUGGGUGACCACCUGGGAACACUGCGUGCCGUU
rnacentral:rRNA from 1 species